UUGCAGCCAUAAUGCGUCGAAACAUCGGUUCUCGUACGAUUACCGAAGUUAAGCAACGUGGAGCCUGGUCAGUACCUAGAUGGGUAACCGCUUUAGAAUACCAGGAAC